GAGACACCCCUCUGGGGCUAGACUUGCUUCGAUGGGGCUUUGGUGCUCACUGAGUCUGUCCCUGAGUGUGUCUUU
rnacentral:pre_miRNA from 1 species